UUAUUGUACCUUGUUGCUUCGGCGGGCCCGCCUUUAUGGCCGCCGGGGGGCUUACGCUCCCGGGCCCGCGCCCGCCGAAGACACCCUCGAACUCUGUCUGAAGAUUGUAGUCUGAGUGAAAUUAUAAAUUAUUUAAAACUUUCAACAACGGAUCUCUUGGUUCCGGCAUCGAUGAAGAACGCAGCGAAAUGCGAUACGUAAUGUGAAUUGCAGAAUUCAGUGAAUCAUCGAGUCUUUGAACGCACAUUGCGCCCCCUGGUAUUCCGGGGGGCAUGCCUGUCCGAGCGUCAUUGCUGCCCUCAAGCACGGCUUGUGUGUUGGGCCCCGUCCUCCGAUCCCGGGGGACGGGCCCGAAAGGCAGCGGCGGCACCGCGUCCGGUCCUCGAGCGUAUGGGGCUUUGUCACUCGCUCUGUAGGCCCGGCCGGCGCUUGCCGAUCAACCAAAUUUUUUCCAGG
rnacentral:sRNA from 1 species